GGAUCAUUACCGAGUUUACAACUCCCAAACCCCUGUGAACGUACCUACUCGUUGCCUCGGCGGGAGGCCCCGGGGGGCGGACGGCGCUCGCGCCGGAAGCCCUCCCGGACCCCAUGGCUGCCCGCCGGAGGACCACAAACUCUUGUUUUACCUGAAUCUUACACUUCUGAGUAACUGGCGAAAGCCGAAAAUAAAUCAAAACUUUCAACAACGGAUCUCUUGGCUCUGGCAUCGAUGAAGAACGCAGCGAAAUGCGAUAAGUAAUGUGAAUUGCAGAAUUCAGUGAAUCAUCGAAUCUUUGAACGCACAUUGCGCCCGCCAGUAUUCUGGCGGGCAUGCCUGUUCGAGCGUCAUUUCAACCCUCACGCCCCGCGUGGCUUUGGGGGACGGCAGCGGCCUCCGGGCCUACGCCGCCCCCGAAUUUCAGUGGCGGACUCGCCGCGGCUUCCUCUGCGUAGUAGCACACCUCGCACCGGAAAGCGGCGGGCCCAGCCGUAAAACCCCAACUUCUUUUGUGGUUGACCUCGAAUCAGGUAGGAAUACCCGCUGAACUUAAGCAUAUCAAUAAGCGGAGGAAAAGAAACCAACAGGGAUUGCCUCAGUAACGGCGAGUGAAGCGGCAACAGCUCAAAUUUGAAAUCUGGCCCUCGGGUCCGAGUUGUAAUUUGCAGAGGAUGCUUUUGGCGAGGUGCCUUCCGAGUUCCCUGGAACGGGACGCCAUAGAGGGUGAGAGCCCCGUCUGGUUGGACACCGAGCCUCUGUAAAGCUCCUUCGACGAGUCGAGUAGUUUGGGAAUGCUGCUCUAAAUGGGAGGUAUAUGUCUUCUAAAGCUAAAUACCGGCCAGAGACCGAUAGCGCACAAGUAGAGUGAUCGAAAGAUGAAAAGCACUUUGAAAAGAGAGUUAAAAAGCACGUGAAAUUGUUGAAAGGGAAGCGUUUAUGACCAGACUUGGGCCUGCUUGAUCAUCCGGCGUUCUCGCCGGUGCACUCUUGCGGCUCAGGCCAGCAUCAGUUUGUCCCGGGGGAUAAAGGCUUCGGGAAUGUGGCUCCCUCGGGAGUGUUAUAGCCCGUUGUGUAAUACCCUGGGGCGGACUGAGGUACGCG
rnacentral:rRNA from 1 species